rnacentral:misc_RNA from 1 species
GAAAUGCGAUAAGUAAUGUGAAUUGCAGAAUUCAGUGAAUAAUCGAAUCUUUGAACGCACAUUGCGCCCGCCAGUAUUCUGGCGGGCAUGCCUGUUCGAGCGUCAUUACAACCCUCAGGCCCCCGGGCCUGGCGUUGGGGAUCGGCGGAAGCCCCCUGCGGGCACAACGCCGUCCCCCAAAUACAGUGGCGGUCCCGCCGCAGCUUCCAUUGCGUAGUAGCUAACACCUCGCAACUGGAGAGCGGCGCGGCCACGCCGUAAAACACCCAACUUCUGAAUGUUGACCUCGCAUCAGGUAGGAAUACCCGCUGAACUUAAGC